AAAGUUUCUUUCACUACUGAUAUGUGGAGCGUCGGAGUCAUAUGCUACGUUCUACUUUCAGGUUUAUCACCCUUCAUGGGUGACUCUGAUUUAGAAACUAUGGGUAAUGUUACAAAAGCAGAAUUUGACUUUGAAGAUGAUAGCUUCGAUAAAAUAUCAGAAACUGCCAAAGAUUUUAUUUCCAAGUUACUAAUUAAAGAUAUGACAUUACGAAUGAAUUCAGCACAAAGUUUAAAGCACCCCUGGCUUAAAGUAAGUAAAUUCAGUUCUCAAAUCUUAGAUUUGAUUAAAAUAUCAUAAUUAUUGAAUUCUACUCUCAUACUAUUUUAUAUCAUUUAAUGAAGAAGAUAGCGUAAAAUUUCAUUCUUGUCUAAAAAUAUUGUCUGCAAUGUGUUGUCUAUUAUUUAUUAAACAAAUUCAAAAAUAGUCUGAAAACUCAAUCAGUAUUAGAAUGGUCAAACUAGUUA